rnacentral:rRNA from 1 species
UACGGAGGGUGCGAGCGUUGUCCGGAAUCACUGGGCGUAAAGGGCGCGUAGGCGGCCUGAUAAGUAGGGGGUGAAAUCCUGCGGCUUAACCGCAGGGCUGCCUUCUAAACUGUCAGGCUUGAGCACAGUAGAGGCAGGUGGAAUUCCCGGUGUAGCGGUGGAAUGCGUAGAGAUCGGGAAGAACAUCAGUGGCGAAGGCGGCCUGCUGGGCUGUUGCUGACGCUGAGGCGCGACAGCGUGGGGAGCAAACAGGA